CCUUAGUUACCCUUUUUCAAUGA
rnacentral:miRNA from 1 species